rnacentral:rRNA from 1 species
UGUCUUGUAAUUGGAAUGAAUAGAAUUCAAAUCCCUUUACGAGUAUCGAUUGGAGGGCAAGUCUGGUGCCAGCAGCCGCGGUAAUUCCAGCUCCAAUAGCGUAUAUUAAAGUUGUUGCGGUUAAAAAGCUCGUAGUUGGAUUCCUGUAUGGAAGGGGCGUCCCCACCCUUUGGAUGGGGGUUGCUACCUUCUUUGCAUCUUCUUGAGUAGAUGUUCCUCACUUAACUGUGAGGACAUCGUGCUCGGGACAUUUACUUUGAGGAAAAGAGAGUGCUCCAAGCAGGCAAACGCCUGAAUACGUUAGCAUGGAAUAAUAGCAUCGGAUCAUCGUACAGCUGUUGGUGUCUGGACGAGGAUAAAGGUGAACAGGGAUUGUUGGGGGCAUUCGUAUUUAACUGUCAGAGGUGAAAUUCUUGGAUUUGUUGAAGACGAGCUACUGCGAAAGCAUUUGCCAAAGAUGUUCUCAUUGAUCAAGAACGAAAGUUAGGUGAUCGAAGACGAUCAGAUACCGUCCUAGUCUUAACCAUAAACUAUGCCAACUGGAGAUGGG